GCUUGCAUCAGAUGACGAGUGGCGCACGGGUGAGUAACGCGUAUACAAUCUACCUUUUACAGGGGGAUAGCCUUUAGAAAUGAAGAUUAAUAUCCCAUAGUAUGUUAACUUGGCAUCAAGAUAACAUUAAAGUUUCGGCGGUAAAAGAUGAGUAUGCGUUCUAUUAGUUAGUUGGUAAGGUAACGGCUUACCAAGACCGCGAUAGAUAGGGGCCCUGAGAGGGGGAUCCCCCACACUGGUACUGAGACACGGACCAGACUCCUACGGGAGGCAGCAGUGAGGAAUAUUGGACAAUGGGCGCGAGCCUGAUCCAGCCAUGCCGCGUGCAGGAAGACUGCCCUAUGGGUUGUAAACUGCUUUUAUACAGGAAGAAACCUUUUCACGUGUGAAAAGCUGACGGUACUGUAAGAAUAAGGAUCGGCUAACUCCGUGCCAGCAGCCGCGGUAAUACGGAGGAUCCAAGCGUUAUCCGGAAUCAUUGGGUUUAAAGGGUCCGUAGGUGGAUAAUUAAGUCAGGGGUGAAAGUUUGCAGCUCAACUGUAAAAUUGCCUUUGAUACUGGUUAUCUUGAAUUAUUGUGAAGUGGUUAGAAUAUGUAGUGUAGCGGUGAAAUGCAUAGAUAUUACAUAGAAUACCAAUUGCGAAGGCAGAUCACUAACAAUAUAUUGACACUGAUGGACGAAAGCGUGGGGAGCGAACAGGAUUAGAUACCCUGGUAGUCCACGCCGUAAACGAUGGAUACUAGCUGUUCGGUUUUCGGACUGAGUGGCUAAGCGAAAGUGAUAAGUAUCCCACCUGGGGAGUACGUUCGCAAGAAUGAAACUCAAAGGAAUUGACGGGGGCCC
rnacentral:rRNA from 1 species